rnacentral:rRNA from 1 species
AUUGAACGCUGGCGGCAGGCCUAACACAUGCAAGUCGAACGAGUGGCGGACGGGUGAGUAAUGUCUGGGAAACUGCCUGAUUGAGGGGGAUAACUACUGGAAACGGUAGCUAAUACCGCAUACCAUCAGAUGUGCCCAGAUGGGAUUAGCUUGUUGGUGGGGUAACGGCUCACCAAGGCGACGAUCCCUAGCGGGUCUGAGAGGAUGACCAGCCACACUGGAACUGAGACAGGGGCCAGACUCCUACGGGAGGCAGCAGUGGGGAAUAUUGCACAAUGGGCGAAAGCCUGAUGCAGCCAUGCCGCGUGGAUGAAGAAGGCCUUCGGGUUGUAAAGGACUUUCAGCGGGGAGGCGGUACCCGCAGAAGAAGCGCCGGCUAACUCCGUGACAGCAGCCGCGGUAAUAC